rnacentral:hammerhead_ribozyme from 1 species
AUCCAGCUGACGAGUCCCAAAUAGGACGAAACACGAGUCAAACUCGAU